rnacentral:rRNA from 1 species
AUACGGAGGAUGCGAGCGUUAUCCGGAUUUAUUGGGUUUAAAGGGAGCGUAGGUGGGAUAUUAAGUCAGCUGUGAAAGUUUGGGGCUCAACCUUAAAAUUGCAGUUGAUACUGGUUUCCUUGAGUACGGUAUAGGUGGGCGGAAUUCGUGGUGUAGCGGUGAAAUGCUUAGAUAUCACGAAGAACUCCGAUCGCGAAGGCAGCUCACCGGGCCGGAACUGACACUGAUGCUCGAAAGUGCGGGUAUCCAACAGGAUUAGAUACCCUGGUAGGCCGAACAGUAAACGAUGAAUACUCGCUGUUUGCGAUACACUGUAAGCGGCCAAGCGAAAGCGUUAAGUAAUCCACCUGGGGAGUACGCCGGCAACGGUGAAACUCAAAGGAAUUGACGGGG